GGGAGGAUCCUCACCGGAGCCUCUAAGGAGGGGAUCCGCACCCAAAGGUGUUGACUUUGAUGUGGCCGUCGUGCCGACCAGAAGUUUCCUCUAGAUCCACAUCGCCUAUUUUUUGGACUGGAGAUAUGUUGUCAGCAUUUCAAGCAGUUUGCUCGCUCCCAAGGAGAAGGGGUGCCACUUGGCCGGCGAAGUGCUGGCAGCAGGAAGUAUGCCAUCGACAUCAUCGAGAUCCGCUUGAAGGAUGGUCGUUGUCCUCUCCAAGAGGAGGGGCCAGCUCAAGGAGGAUACUACUAUGAGAUGGUCUGAUACAUAGAAGAUGGACUCAAGCCCCUCUAGGGAAGCAUCCACUAUCCCUGUUCUACUGAUUUCGCCGGAACGUCGACCGCCUAUGCUCCGCCUGAGUGAUGACGAAGUGAUGCAUACGGAAACAUGUUCGAUAAGAAUCAGCGUGCCAAUAUGGAAUAUAAGGUGAGUGAGUAUUGUGUAUGCUGAGCCCUCCAAACUUUUUGCAAGGCCUGUAAAACAGUGGAAUGCAACACUAGCAGAAAGGAAGAACUGUAGACUCAAUCAUGGACUACUUGAGUUAACUAUUUGCUCAAUACAUCAAGCACCAGGCCUCUCCUACUCCUGCUCUCAAAAUGGAAAAGGAGAUCAGGCAACUAGGGAUCUGAGUACUGUAAUUUGAUAAAUUUUGUUUUUUGGGUGGCAUGAAAGGGCCACUUUUUCUUAGAAGUGGCUUAUUCUUAGCCAGUCUUUCCAAUUAACACCUUAUUGAUUGGAACAUAAUGAGUAAAUGUAUGUGUGGUUCUUUCUAUUUAAGAGAUUUAGAUGAAAUUAUGGAAGCUACAAACCUCUGUAUCUUAUAAGACCUUUUUUAUACCAAAAAGCUCCUUAUACAUUAAGUUAUUA